rnacentral:rRNA from 1 species
AUUGAACGCUGGCGGCAUGCCUUACACAUGCAAGUCGAACGGCAGCACGGGAGCAAUCCUGGUGGCGAGUGGCGAACGGGUGAGUAAUAUAUCGGAACGUGCCCAGUCGUGGGGGAUAACGUAGCGAAAGCUACGCUAAUACCGCAUACGAUCUAUGGAUGAAAGCGGGGGAUCGCAAGACCUCGCGCGAUUGGAGCGGCCGAUAUCGGAUUAGGUAGUUGGUGAGGUAAAGGCUCACCAAGCCGACGAUCUGUAGCUGGUCUGAGAGGACGACCAGCCACACUGGGACUGAGACACGGCCCAGACUCCUACGGGAGGCAGCAGUGGGGAAUUUUGGACAAUGGGCGCAAGCCUGAUCCAGCAAUGCCGCGUGCAGGAUGAAGGCCUUCGGGUUGUAAACUGCUUUUGUACGGAACGAAACGGUGAGCUCUAAUACAGUUUGCUAAUGACGGUACCGUAAGAAUAAGCACCGGCUAACUACGUG